UCUCAAUUAACAUCUGAGGACCAGCUAAUGGCAGCUAAUCAGCUGCUAGUGAGUACACAUCGCCUGUGGUAUUCAAGGCUUUGCAGAUAAAAUCAGCUACAAAACAACAACCUGAGCACAACUGCUCCACCUUUUCAGACUAUAGGUUACGCCACUUGCUUUGUCAGCUUUGGAAUCAAGCCACUGACUGAGGUAAUGAUAUCACAUGAACAGACCCAGUGGAUGGGAGCUUCCCAGCAGGUGUGCGUGAACAGAUGACUGGAGGGCAGAGAGGGCCAGCACCUGGCACAGGAUGUGACCGCACAGAGGAAAGGCCACAUGAGGACACAGAGAAGAUGGCCGUCUGCAGGGCAAGGAGAGGCCUGAGGGGAAACCAGAGCUGCCCACGCCUGGAUCUCGGACGUCCAGCCUCCAAGAGCUACGAGCUGAGUGAGUAUCCAUAACUUGGAGACGCCGUGAUUCCGCACCACCUCCUGUAAAAGCACCUCCUUCGAAAGCACUGAGAUGACCCCCUCAGAAUCGUCGUGUUCCAUCUCCCAUCCUCUUCUGAGACAUCUGUUUUCAAGGAACUCAAGAGGAUUGGCACCAAACUGCAGAGCACAACCCAGAUAUGGAAUCAACCCAUUCUCCAGAGGUGGUUCACCCAUUUGCCUGUAAGACACAAAGAGAUGGGAUGUCACUUCUCGUUACUGUCCCACGUCCACACAUGGCUUCUGUCACACCCCUAACAUGCAGCCUCUAAGCUGGUGAGUGGGGAUUCGGAUGCUGGUUACAGUUGUCACAACUAUUAAUAGCCUGCAAGGAAAUACCUGCAAGGUUUCCUGGAGCAUCAUGGGGCUCCCGUGGACCAAGGCUCCUCCCAUGGAUCCCGU